rnacentral:rRNA from 1 species
UGAGGAAUAUUGGUCAAUGGGCGAGAGCCUGAACCAGCCAAGUAGCGUGCAGGAAGACGGCCCUAUGGGUUGUAAACUGCUUUUGUAUGGGGAUAAAGUCAAUCACGUGUGAUUGUUUGCAGGUACCAUACGAAUAAGGACCGGCUAAUUCCGUGCCAGCAGCCGCGGUAAUACGGAAGGUCCGGGCGUUAUCCGGAUUUAUUGGGUUUAAAGGGAGCGUAGGCUGGAGAUUAAGUGUGUUGUGAAAUGUAGACGCUCAACGUCUGACUUGCAGCGCAUACUGGUUUCCUUGAGUACGCACAACGUUGGCGGAAUUCGUCGUGUAGCGGUGAAAUGCUUAGAUAUGACGAAGAACUCCGAUUGCGAAGGCAGCUGACGGGAGCGCAACUGACGCUGAAGCUCGAAGGUGCGGGUAUCGAACAGGAUUAGAUACCCUGGUAGUCCGCACAGUAAACGAUGGAUGCCCGCUGUUGGUACCUGGUAUCAGCGGCUAAGCGAAAGCAUUAAGCAUCCCACCUGGGGAGUACGCCGGCNACGGU